rnacentral:rRNA from 1 species
UGGGUGGCGAGUGGCGGACGGGUGAGUAACGCGUGGGAAUCUGCCCAAUAGUGGGGGACAACCCGACGAAAGUCGGGCUAAUACCGCAUACGCCCCAUGGGGGAAAGGCUUCGGCCGCUAUUGGAUGAGCCCGCGUCCGAUUAGCUAGUUGGUGAGGUAAUGGCUCACCAAGGCGACGAUCGGUAGCUGGUCUGAGAGGACGAUCAGCCACACUGGGACUGAGACACGGCCCAGACUCCUACGGGAGGCAGCAGUGGGGAAUACUGCACAA